AUGGUUUCCAAUCGCGUGUUAGCGUGUAGCUUACUGGUUUAUUUAGUAGUGGCGAUGCUGUUUGAUGUUACUGGUUGGAAGAGUUUGUUUUUGCAACUCAUUCUAAUGUGCUAUGUGUGUUUUGGGCUUAACCCUAAUAACCGCAUUAAGUUGAAAGUUGGAUUCUCUUUUGGAACGAGGAGGGACGUAGAUGGAGAAGGAGAUAGAGAUGAUGACCAUGGUAGAGCAGCUGGUACACCUGAGCAGGCUGAUUGA